CAAGUCGAGCGAGAAAGUGGAGCAAUCCAUGAGUAAAGCGGCGUACGGGUGAGUAACACGUGGAUCAUCUACCUUUUAGUGGGGAAUAACCCUGGGAAACCGGGGCUAAUACCGCAUAAGCCUGUAAAGGGAAAGCAGCAAUGCGCUGAAAGAGGAGUCCGCGGCCGAUUAGCUAGUUGGUGAGGUAAUGGCUCACCAAGGCGGUGAUCGGUAGCCGGCCUGAGAGGGCACACGGCCACACUGGCACUGAAACACGGGCCAGACUCCUACGGGAGGCAGCAGUGGGGAAUCUUGCACAAUGGAGGCAACUCUGAUGCAGCGACGCCGCGUGAGCGAUGAAGCCCUUCGGGGUGUAAAGCUCUUUCGGCAGGGACGAUAAUGACGGUACCUGAAGAAGAAGCUGCGGCUAACUACGUGCCAGCAGCCGCGGUAAUACGUAGGCAGCGAGCGUUGUUCGGAAUUACUGGGCGUAAAGAGUGUGUAGGCGGUGCUCUAAGUUCGGUGUGAAAUCUCCUGGCUUAACUGGGAGGGUGCGCCGGAAACUGGAGUGCUUGAGCGUGGGAGAGGAAAGCGGAAUUCCUGGUGUAGCGGUGAAAUGCGUAGAUAUCAGGAGGAACACCUGUGGUGUAGACGGCUUUCUGGACCAUUGCUGACGCUGAGACACGAAAGCGUGGGUAGCAAACAGGAUUAGAUACCCUGGUAGUCCACGCCCUAAACGAUGCAUACUUGGUGUCGGCCAUUCAGUUGGUC
rnacentral:rRNA from 1 species